AGAAUUCCAGUUUGGUCUAAUUUAGGUAGGAAGAUCUGCCCACUAUGGGCGCACCACUCAUGAGCUAUACUGAAGAGGAAAGAAAACUGAGGACCUGCAUGAAUGAACAGUUCUCUGGUUCCUGAUUGUUGAUGCUUGUUCCUACGGAAAUCCAAGGAAGGCAACUUCAUAAAGCAUGGAGGGCUGGUUUAUAUGAAGGUUGCAUGCACGCUACAAAACAAUUUAAAUCUACCAACAGCUGUAAGCGAAACAACAUUAAAGGCCAGAGAAAUGACUACAUGGAUAAAGGAAUACAUUUUAUAAGAAGAUGCAACAUCAUCUGUCGGCGACAUCCAUUGCCUGAAGUACUUGAACGGACAAAGAUGAUGAUGAUGAUGAUGAUGAUGAUGAUGAGAAGGAGGAGGAGGAGCAGAAAGAGGAAGAGGAAGGCUGACAAGUGAUGAUGGAUUUAUGAUGAAUAGUGCUCAAAAAGAAAACAAAAACAAAAACAAAUAAAAGCUAAAGUUCUGCUCA
ensembl:lincRNA Gm43986 predicted gene, 43986